UACAGCAUACUGAUUUGACUUACAUCAUGAAAUGUAUGUAAGUCAAAUCAGUAUGCUGUAC
ensembl:miRNA